GAGGAAAGUCCGGGCUCCACAGGGCAGGAAGCAGGCUAACGGCCUGGCGGGGUGACCCGACGGAAAGCGCCGCAGAAAAGAAGACUCCCGCUGCCCGCCUCGGCGGGUGAGAGAAAAGCUGAAACGGUGGUGUAAGAGACCACCAGCGUCGUGGCAACAUGGCGGCUUGGCAAGCCCCUUCCGGAGCAAACGCAAAUAGGAGCGCCAUGGUGUGGCCCGCACCGCGCUCGGGUUGCGCGCUAGAGGCCGUCGGUGACGGCGGUCGUAGAUAAAUGAUUGUCCACGACAGAACCCGGCUCA
rnacentral:RNase_P_RNA from 1 species